rnacentral:rRNA from 1 species
CAAUAGCGUAUAUUUAAGUUGUUGCAGUUAAAAAGCUCGUAGUUGGAUUUCGGAUGGGAUUUGCCGGUCCGUCGUUACGAUGUGCACUGGCCAGUCCUAUCUUGUUGUCGGGGACUAGCUCCUUGGAUUCACUUCCUGGGACUAGGAGCUGACGAGGUUACUUUGAGUAAAUUAGAGUGUUCAAAGCAAGCCUACGCUCUGAAUACAUUAGCAUGGAAUAACACGAUAGGACUCUGGCUUAUCUUGUUGGUCUGUGAGACCAGAGUAAUGAUUAAGAGGGACAGUCGGGGACAUUCGUAUUUCAUUGUCAGAGGUGAAAUUCUUGGAUUUAUGAAAGACGAACUUCUGCGAAAGCAUUUGUCAAAGAUGUUUUCAUUAA